UGAGGAAUAUUGGUCAAUGGGCGCAAGCCUGAACCAGCCAUCCCGCGUGCAGGAAGACGGCGCUAUGCGUUGUAAACUGCUUUUCCAGGGGGAGAAACUUGCGCACGUGUUGCGCAAUUGACGGUACCCUGGGAAUAAGCAUCGGCUAACUCCGUGCCAGCAGCCGCGGUAAUACGGAGGAUGCGAGCGUUAUCCGGAUUCAUUGGGUUUAAAGGGUGCGUAGGCGGACUAUUAAGUCAGUGGUGAAAUCCUGCAGCUUAACUGCAGAACUGCCAUUGAUACUGAUAGCCUUGAGUUUGGUUAAGGUAGGCGGAAUGUGUAAUGUAGCGGUGAAAUGCUUAGAUAUUACACAGAACACCAAUUGCGUAGGCAGCUUACUGAGCCGACACUGACGCUGAGG
rnacentral:rRNA from 1 species